rnacentral:rRNA from 1 species
UACGUAGGGUGCGAGCGUUUGUCCGGAAUUACUGGGCGUAAAGAGCUCGUAGGCGGUUUGUCGCGUCUGCCGUGAAAGUCCGGGGCUCAACUCCGGAUCUGCGGUGGGUACGGGCAGACUAGAGUGAUGUAGGGGAGACUGGAAUUCCUGGUGUAGCGGUGAAAUGCGCAGAUAUCAGGAGGAACACCGGUGGCGAAGGCGGGUCUCUGGGCCGAUACUGACGCUGAGGAGCGAAAGCGUGGGGAGCGAACAGG